rnacentral:lncRNA from 1 species
AAAAUAAUAAAUUAAAGCAUGUGCUGACAUAUGCAUUAUCCCUGACAAAGCCUUAAAGACAUAGGUAUGUUUGCGUAGAGUUUGAACAAUGCUAAUAUAACAGAAAAGCAUAUCACAAGGAAGCUUUGAUCACAAUAUAACAUGUAAAUAGUAAAUAUAGGAUGUCUAGAGGGACACACAUCUGUUGGAGAAUAGAAAGGAUGGGAAAUUCCAUUGAAAUAUAUAAAUAUAUAUUAUUACAUUGAUACAAGUGGAUUAUUGGAUUUACCCAAUCAAGAUAGUUAAAUUAUCAAUUUUAAAGUCCAAGCCUCGACGAGGACUUGAAAAUUUAUAAUUUAACUAUCAAGUUAAUCCACGCGUUACUAUGUAAUAAUAUGUUUCUCUAAUGAUUAAAAGAUAAAUUUCCUUUUUCGCUUAACCAAAAUUCCCUUCGAGUGCCUUCCACUUUCCACGAAAUUGUCAAUUUCAUUAACACCUGUGAGAACAUUUUGAUCAUUUCAGAGAGCUGAGAAAGGUUAUGACCCUUUGACUGAGCCAAUCAUCUUCUGAGAUACCCGGCAACCACACUUUAAUUUUUUUUAUACAAUGGGUUCGAAAAGGGAUAUAUUUUCAAAGAAUUAGAGAAAGAAAAAUACAGACUUUUUACUAAUAUCAGAAUGCACAUUUGAGAACAGUUGAAACUAAACACAAAUAAAUAUUUUUCAUGUC